rnacentral:rRNA from 1 species
UACGUAGGGGGCUAGCGUUGUCCGGAUUUAUUGGGCGUAAAGAGCGUGUAGGCGGCCAGGUAGGUCUGCUGUGAAAACUCGAGGCUCAACCUCGAGACGUCGGCGGAAACCAUCUGGCUAGAGUCCGGAAGAGGAGAGUGGAAUUCCUGGUGUAGCGGUGAAAUGCGCAGAUAUCAGGAAGAACACCGGUGGCGAAGGCGGCUACCUGGACCGAUAUUGACGCUGAGACGCGAAAGCGUGGGUAGCAAACAGG